GUCCGUUGAGAACCCUAAACCACGAUCGCCCUUUCUCCCUCUCCCUCUCCCUCUCUCUCCCGUUCGCCUCCGUUUCCUCCCUCCGUCGUCGCCUGCGCUCCUCGGCUCUUCCGUAGCUCCGCUCCUACGCUCGUUCCGCCCGUCUGCUGGUUCGCAUCUCCGCUCCUCGCUCCGAAGCUCUGCCCCUCCCCUGCGGCCAUCUUCCUCCACAGAGGAGGAGGAAUUUCGGUCGUACCUUGAGGUGUUAUUUCCAGUUAAUCCCGCACGUAAGGACGGGAAUACGUCUUAGGGCAGUGCUUCGCACGCUUCCGGAUAAGAUCAAAUCUUUAUUGGAAUAUUUGCGUCUAUUUGAACUAGUUGUUGUAAACAUUGUUUUUUUGGGUACCUGGCGGUGAAUCCUGAGGAAAGCAAGAGAGCGUAAACCUUCCCAAUGUCUAGGGAAAUCAGAUCUAUGAGGGAAAGCCUUCCCAAUGUCCUCGACAG